rnacentral:lncRNA from 1 species
GCGGACCUACACCGCUCAGUUAAGUGUCCAUACUGUGCUGGUGCAGCCCACAGACUGAAAAAUCGAGGAAGAUUGGCAUGAAUGUCAGCUCAGGGUGAAUCUUCCUCAGAAAAAAAAAAAAAACUACCUCUUUGUAAAUUGAGUGUGAAAUAGAUAUUUUAUAAAAAUAAGUUUUAAUUGUUACAUACUAAAAUCUACUUAGAUAUGUGCAAUAUCUGCAGAUAUUUAAUCUGGCUGGUAGUAAUUGAAAUAAAAUUAAGAGAAUCCAAGGCUACGACAAUUCUUUUUCCUUCUUUGGCUUCCUCUUAGAGGAUUAUUAUUUUACACUUUUAUUUACAGGAUAUUUGUGGAGGUUACGUUUCAAAGAUCGAGUAAAAGGCGCACCAGCUCUUUCUGAGAGCUUGUUCUCAGAAACCUCGAGGUGGAGAGUGAGAAGGAUGCAUAGAUCUAUGUGCCCACGGGUUAAUUAUCACUGGCCGGAGACGCAUGCUUGGGCAAAAUGUCAGUUGUCUACUUGUACCGUUGUGAACCUCGAUCCUUAAUAGCUGACCAAGAGUCUGUAUCACUAAUAAUGAGCUUAUAGGAAUUGUGCGUUUUCUGUUACUCGUUAUCCAGGAAGUGAUCUUAUGAUAAUUGACCAAAAAAAGCAGUCUCCUUGCUGGACGCAGGUAGAGCAGGAGAGGGAAUCUCAGGGAAGUGGCUCCUGAGUGACCCAACUUUUGCAUUCCUUGGUUUGAUCAACACCAAACUGCAAAGGAGCUGAUCAUCUGAAGGAUUGACAAGGAAGGAUCCACUGUGAAACAUAUGCUUGUUUGCCCACCUAAGACUGAAAUUAAACCAGGGAAGUGGAAAUUUAUGAAUACCUGUCCCGCAGACAAAUAUUCAAGAUGGAUGCAAACUCUCCACUGAGAGAUUACAUCUUCCACGUAAUUGCAACGGGAGCUACCGUGAGAAUAUCACAAUUCCUCUCAAUCAUGGAAAAAUGAGCUGUGUUUUUUAUUCUGUGGUACACAGGGUUUGCUAGCUUUGUAUCCUUUAUUUUACGCAUUGUCUUUAAAUCCUUGAGUGAGAACAUUCUGCAUCUAUUAGGCAAGUCUGAGACAUCCAGAUGUUGCUCUUAAAUUGAUAGCUCUUGGGUCUGCCUUAUUGAAGUGCUUAUAAGAAGGCAAAUAAACGCUGGUUUUAGGCUUUUGGUAUUCA